GACGGACGCUGGCGGCGUGCUUAACACAUGCAAGUCGAACGGAAAGGCCCUGCUUUUGUGGGGUGCUCGAGUGGCGAACGGGUGAGUAACACGUGAGUAACCUGCCCUUGACUUUGGGAUAACUUCAGGAAACUGGGGCUAAUACCGGAUAGGAGCUCCUGCUGCAUGGUGGGGGUUGGAAAGUUUCGGCGGUUGGGGAUGGACUCGCGGCUUAUCAGCUUGUUGGUGGGGUAGUGGCUUACCAAGGCUUUGACGGGUAGCCGGCCUGAGAGGGUGGCCGGCCACAUGGGGACUGAGAUACGGCCCAGACGCCAACGGGAGGCAGCAGUGGGGAAUAUUGCACAAUGGGCGGAAGCCUGAAGCAGCAACGCCGCGUGCGGGAUGACGGCCUUCGGGUGGUAAACCGAUUUCGCCUGUGACGAAGCGUGAGUGACGGUAAUGGGUAAAGAAGCACCGGCUAACUACGG
rnacentral:rRNA from 1 species